rnacentral:rRNA from 1 species
CCUACGGGGGGCAGCAGUGGGGAAUAUUGCGCAAUGGGCGAAAGCCUGACGCAGCGACGCCGCGUGAGGGAUGAAGGUCUUCGGAUCGUAAACCUCUGUCAGCAGGGAAGAACGGUCACUGUGCUAAUCAGCAGUGAAUUGACGGUACCUGCAAAGGAAGCACCGGCUAACUCCGUGCCAGCAGCCGCGGUAAUACGGAGGGUGCGAGCGUUAAUCGGAAUUACUGGGCGUAAAGCGCUCGUAGGCGGUAUGUCAAGUCAAGGGUGAAAUCCCCGCGCUCAACGUGGGAACUGCCUUUGAAACUGGUGAACUAGAGUGUGGGAGAGGAUAGUGGAAUGCCAGGUGUAGGGGUGAAAUCCGUAGAGAUCAGGAGGAACAUCAGUGGCGAAGGCGACUAUCUGGCACAUAACUGACGCUGAGGAGCGAAAGCGUGGGUAGCAAACAGGAUUAGAUACCCUUGUAGUC